rnacentral:rRNA from 2 species
GGGUUGUGAGGUUAAGCGACUAAGCGUACACGGUGGAUGCCCUGGCAGUCAGAGGCGAUGAAGGACGUGCUAAUCUGCGAUAAGCGUCGGUAAGGUGAUAUGAACCGUUAUAACCGGCGAUUUCCGAAUGGGGAAACCCAGUGUGUUUCGACACACUAUCAUUAACUGAAUCCAUAGGUUAAUGAGGCGAACCGGGGGAACUGAAACAUCUAAGUACCCCGAGGAAAAGAAAUCAACCGAGAUUCCCCCAGUAGCGGCGAGCGAACGGGGAGCAGCCCAGAGCCUGAAUCAGUGUGUGUGUUAGUGGAAGCGUCUGGAAAGGCGCGCGAUACAGGGUGACAGCCCCGUACACAAAAAUGCACAUGCUGUGAGCUCGAUGAGUAGGGCGGGACACGUGGUAUCCUGUCUGAAUAUGGGGGGACCAUCCUCCAAGGCUAAAUACUCCUGACUGACCGAUAGUGAACCAGUACCGUGAGGGAAAGGCGAAAAGAACCCCGGCGAGGGGAGUGAAAAAGAACCUGAAACCGUGUACGUACAAGCAGUGGGAGCACGCUUAGGCGUGUGACUGCGUACCUUUUGUAUAAUGGGUCAGCGACUUAUAUUCUGUAGCAAGGUUAACCGAAUAGGGGAGCCGAAGGGAAACCGAGUCUUAACUGGGCGUUAAGUUGCAGGGUAUAGACCCGAAACCCGGUGAUCUAGCCAUGGGCAGGUUGAAGGUUGGGUAACACUAACUGGAGGACCGAACCGACUAAUGUUGAAAAAUUAGCGGAUGACUUGUGGCUGGGGGUGAAAGGCCAAUCAAACCGGGAGAUAGCUGGUUCUCCCCGAAAGCUAUUUAGGUAGCGCCUCGUGAAUUCAUCUCCGGGGGUAGAGCACUGUUUCGGCAAGGGGGUCAUCCCGACUUACCAACCCGAUGCAAACUGCGAAUACCGGAGAAUGUUAUCACGGGAGACACACGGCGGGUGCUAACGUCCGUCGUGAAGAGGGAAACAACCCAGACCGCCAGCUAAGGUCCCAAAGUCAUGGUUAAGUGGGAAACGAUGUGGGAAGGCCCAGACAGCCAGGAUGUUGGCUUAGAAGCAGCCAUCAUUUAAAGAAAGCGUAAUAGCUCACUGGUCGAGUCGGCCUGCGCGGAAGAUGUAACGGGGCUAAACCAUGCACCGAAGCUGCGGCAGCGACGCUUAUGCGUUGUUGGGUAGGGGAGCGUUCUGUAAGCCUGCGAAGGUGUGCUGUGAGGCAUGCUGGAGGUAUCAGAAGUGCGAAUGCUGACAUAAGUAACGAUAAAGCGGGUGAAAAGCCCGCUCGCCGGAAGACCAAGGGUUCCUGUCCAACGUUAAUCGGGGCAGGGUGAGUCGACCCCUAAGGCGAGGCCGAAAGGCGUAGUCGAUGGGAAACAGGUUAAUAUUCCUGUACUUGGUGUUACUGCGAAGGGGGGACGGAGAAGGCUAUGUUGGCCGGGCGACGGUUGUCCCGGUUUAAGCGUGUAGGCUGGUUUUCCAGGCAAAUCCGGAAAAUCAAGGCUGAGGCGUGAUGACGAGGCACUACGGUGCUGAAGCAACAAAUGCCCUGCUUCCAGGAAAAGCCUCUAAGCAUCAGGUAACAUCAAAUCGUACCCCAAACCGACACAGGUGGUCAGGUAGAGAAUACCAAGGCGCUUGAGAGAACUCGGGUGAAGGAACUAGGCAAAAUGGUGCCGUAACUUCGGGAGAAGGCACGCUGAUAUGUAGGUGAGGUCCCUCGCGGAUGGAGCUGAAAUCAGUCGAAGAUACCAGCUGGCUGCAACUGUUUAUUAAAAACACAGCACUGUGCAAACACGAAAGUGGACGUAUACGGUGUGACGCCUGCCCGGUGCCGGAAGGUUAAUUGAUGGGGUUAGCGCAAGCGAAGCUCUUGAUCGAAGCCCCGGUAAACGGCGGCCGUAACUAUAACGGUCCUAAGGUAGCGAAAUUCCUUGUCGGGUAAGUUCCGACCUGCACGAAUGGCGUAAUGAUGGCCAGGCUGUCUCCACCCGAGACUCAGUGAAAUUGAACUCGCUGUGAAGAUGCAGUGUACCCGCGGCAAGACGGAAAGACCCCGUGAACCUUUACUAUAGCUUGACACUGAACAUUGAGCCUUGAUGUGUAGGAUAGGUGGGAGGCUUUGAAGUGUGGACGCCAGUCUGCAUGGAGCCGACCUUGAAAUACCACCCUUUAAUGUUUGAUGUUCUAACGUUGACCCGUAAUCCGGGUUGCGGACAGUGUCUGGUGGGUAGUUUGACUGGGGCGGUCUCCUCCUAAAGAGUAACGGAGGAGCACGAAGGUUGGCUAAUCCUGGUCGGACAUCAGGAGGUUAGUGCAAUGGCAUAAGCCAGCUUGACUGCGAGCGUGACGGCGCGAGCAGGUGCGAAAGCAGGUCAUAGUGAUCCGGUGGUUCUGAAUGGAAGGGCCAUCGCUCAACGGAUAAAAGGUACUCCGGGGAUAACAGGCUGAUACCGCCCAAGAGUUCAUAUCGACGGCGGUGUUUGGCACCUCGAUGUCGGCUCAUCACAUCCUGGGGCUGAAGUAGGUCCCAAGGGUAUGGCUGUUCGCCAUUUAAAGUGGUACGCGAGCUGGGUUUAGAACGUCGUGAGACAGUUCGGUCCCUAUCUGCCGUGGGCGCUGGAGAACUGAGGGGGGCUGCUCCUAGUACGAGAGGACCGGAGUGGACGCAUCACUGGUGUUCGGGUUGUCAUGCCAAUGGCACUGCCCGGUAGCUAAAUGCGGAAGAGAUAAGUGCUGAAAGCAUCUAAGCACGAAACUUGCCCCGAGAUGAGUUCUCCCUGACUCCUUGAGAGUCCUGAAGGAACGUUGAAGACGACGACGUUGAUAGGCCGGGUGUGUAAGCGCAGCGAUGCGUUGAGCUAACCGGUACUAAUGAACCGUGAGGCUUAACCUUACAACGCCGAAGCUGUU